AUACCUUUCUCGGCCUUUUGGCUAAGAUCAAGUGUAGUAUCUGUUCUUAUCAGUUUAAUAUCUGAUAUGUGGGCCAAUGGUCCACACGAUAUUAAAUUAAUUUUUUAAGGGUGAGGGGCCUCCACAGUAGCUUGCUGCUGGGCCUCUCGAGCGUCGCCUGUGCGUUGCACUACUGCAUGGGCCUGGCGCAACCCAC